GCCCGAGAAACUUGGGAAGUCUUACUGUUGUUUCUUCUGCAGAUUAACGACAUACUUCUGGCCCCACCAACUGUUCAAGGUGGCAUUGCUGAGAAUCUAGCAGAGAAGUUGAUUGGUGUUCUCUUUGAGGUGUGGUUACUAGCUUGUACUCGGUGCUUCCCAACACCUCCUUAUUGGAAAACAGCCAAGGAGAUGGUGGCUAACUGGAGGCAUCACCCAGCAGUGGUGGAGCAGUGGAGCAAGGUCAUUUGUGCACUCACUUCCAGGUAGGUUAUUGUCAUUGCCCUGCCUUCCUUCACCUGUCUGACCUUAGGCAGCUUUCUGGCAUUCAUGGAAUACAUUAUAACAAAGGCUGGGUCUGUUAUUACUGUACUUUAGAUACAGAAUUGAGCCACUUUUUAAAUAUAGAUAUAACAGUUUGGCUAGUGCCUGUUUAAAACAUUUCAGAAUAAUCAAGUAUUCUUGAGAAACAGAUAAAUUUUAUACCCUACUUCCCCCACAAAAAAAUUCCACUCUUAUUUUGAUCAUUAAAAUAUGCAUGAUCAUUAAAAUAUGCCUAAUCAUUAUUUUAAAGAAACAAACCAUAGAAAGAUAUAAUAGAAAAGUUCUCCUGAAAUCCUACCAUGUAUAUUUAUA
rnacentral:lncRNA from 1 species